rnacentral:rRNA from 1 species
GAUGAACGCUAGCAGAACGCCUAACACAUGCAAGUCGAACGAACCAGCAAUGGUUAGUGGCAAACGGGCGAGUAACGCGUAUCUAACCUACCCUUGAGUGAGGCACAACUACAGAGAUGUAGCUAAUUCCUCAUACGUUCUAGAGAAUGAAAAUAUCUAGAAGAAAGAUUUAUCGCUCAGGGAGGGGGGUGCGUCCUAUCGAGGUAGUUGGUGAGGUAAUAGCUCACCAAGCCUAUGACGGGUAGCCGGUCUGAGAGGAUGUCCGGCCGCAAUGGAACUGAGAACGGUCCAUACUCCUACGGGAGGCAGCAGUGGGGAAUAUUGGACAAUGGGCGAAAGCCUGAUCCAGCGAUUCUGCGUGAAGGAUGAAGCCUUAUGGGGUGUAAACUUCUUUUCUGGGGGAAGACGAAUGACGGUACCUCAGGAAUAAGAGACGGCUAAC